rnacentral:rRNA from 1 species
UACGUAGGGAGCAAGCGUUGUCCGGAAUCAUUGGGCGUAAAGCGCGCGUAGGUGGCCCUGUAAGUCCGUUGUGAAAGUCAAAGGCUCAACCUUUGAAAGCCGAUGGAUACUGCAGGGCUAGAGUACGGAAGAGGCGAGUGGAAUUCCUGGUGUAGCGGUGGAAUGCGCAGAUAUCAGGAGGAACACCGGUGGCGAAGGCGGGUCUCUGGGCCGAUAUUGACGCUGAGGAGCGAAAGCGUGGGGAGCAAACAGG